AAUUUAACUUGCUCAUGUUUAAGUAUAUCCUUUAUUUUAUGUAUUUCAGCAACAAUUUUUUUUCCUUUUUUAGUAUUCCUAUAAACGCAAGGCUGACUAUGCUAUUGAUCGCUACUUUAUCUCAUGAAUUCACGGUUUAUUUUUCAUCAUGGGUUAUACAUUUAUUUUCCUUUUUUUGUGCAUGUUAUUUAUUUGUUAACUAAUCUAGUUUAUUUUUUCAAUAUAUUACCACCCGAUUCGUGGCCUAUCCCCCAUAGUGGGUUUGUGCCAUUAAUUGAGGCAUCAUCAUCAUCAUCAUCAACUUAUCCACCACUCCAAAAAUUUCGUCCAGCUAAUACUGUCCAGUCAGUUUGUGAUUGAAGGAGAUGGGACUGAUUUUAGCACCGGCAUAAAUUCCGCACCCCACAUCGAACGACCACUGGUCAUAAAGCGGCGUGCCCGGUUCCUUGCAACAGGUCCAGAUGGCGCUCGCCUCCACCGCAUCGCUGGUCACACAAGAGGCGUGCAUAGCGUUCGCCGCCAGUGCUUCACAGCAAGUAUUACGGUUACAUAAGUUACAGCUGCCGGUAAGCGUGAGAAGCACUCAGGGAUCUUUGAAUGGUAUUGCCUUCCACUCUUAAAGGCGAAGCUUAAGCGCCCUUCAAACUUCUGUUUUAGCAGAUGAAUAUUCCAUCGAAAUAAAGUAUGGCAACCAAAGUUUACUCCGUUAUAUCCAUGUUCAUUAUAUUGAGUUUCCACUAUCUUUAACCGACUGCAUUUUUGAUCAUGGUGAAAGAAUAGACAGGUGUCUCAAUGACACCAUCGGUCUCCCGAGUGUUGUGACUACACCCCUGUUCGCUGUUCCUUCCUCUAUCAGCAGGGCACUCAUGUUGGGCUCAUUAGAGUUACUGUAUAUCGCUACCUUUGUAGGGAGCACAUACAGUAACUCUAGCGGUCAUAAUUUUCUGUCUGCUAGCGGCGUGAUGAUCUGUGUUCAUGUAUUUCCCUGCAAAUGCCCUUAAAACACGUGGAGUUACUUCUGUGGCGCUAAUAAAGCUCUUGCCGUUUCUGUAUUAUCGUUGCCCUUGAUAAUUACGAAAAAAAAUUGAAUAUGCACAUAGAAACUACCUACCGAUUUUGGUUUGCAGUGUGUGUAUCUAGCAUUAUACAAUGUCUUAAAUGAUGCCCCCUAGGGGGUAUCAUUUCCCAGUGUGAAAGGCAAGGAACCUCAUGGAGCAGUCUCCAAGAGUUUGUAUAAAAACUGGGAAAAGUUCCGUGUUGAAACAACCAAGGUAAUAUGUGCUCUUUAUCUUGAAUGCGAAAUUGUUACUUUGGUGUAAAUUUUUGGGUUUUAAGAGUCAAAACGAAGCUGCUUAACGUCACAUAUUGUCCCUGUAUAUGCUCCCAAAUGCAGCAGAGUUGCGUAAAGGUGCAGCAUUUUGUUCUAAAGCUAUGCUGUAAAACCACUCCUUGCAUGCACAGGAGCCAAAAGGGGCUUCUUUGUUGACUUCACACGUGUUUGGCGUAUGCGAGUAUCUUGUAACCAAAUUGAGAAAGGAAAAGGCCCUUUCACGCCUCCAGAACAUCGUAGCGAGUCGCAAAAAGUAUUAAACAAUAGGCAAAAUUAACGGUAUAGGCAGUCGAAAAUUAACCAUAUUGCACCAUACACUGCACUAUCUCAGAGAUUGGCCCACGUGGCCUCUUAGUAAAAAAAUAUGGUCAACCAAUUAAGCAUUAAUGCUAAAGACAAAGCCGACAUAUUUGCACGUGAAAUACGAUACGAAUAAGAUAAGAAAUGAGUGAGUAAUGAACAUAAAAAAAGACCGAUUAAAGAUAUUGCUACAGAACAGUAUUUGCGAUCACGAAGAGGCGAGCAGCGUGAAGACGACGAAGACGAUUAGAGGCUAGGGCGGGCUGUUGCCUCUUGGCGAAGUGCAGCGUAUUUCCUUGUAAAUAUACUUGUAUAUAGCUUUUCGUCUGCGUCUUCCUAUGUAACACAUCUGGUGGAGGUGGACGUUCCCUGUACCUCGUCACAGAGCUUCGCAGUGGACGGCACGUCGAGCCUUCCUUCAUGGCUCCCAGCGACGACAACUCGACUCCGCCGGCUCUGACACCUGCUGCCACAUACAUCACUCUCCCCACUCCCCGUGACCCUGGCGUAUUCUUGGGCAAAGAUGGGGAAGACAUCGAGGACUGGAUCAGCCUGUACGAACACGUCAGCCGCAAUAACCGGGUGCAGUCAUCAACGCUGGUUGCUUUGAAUACUCGAUGUGACUACCUGUGCCCGAGCUAAUCACCAGAUCAUUGCUGGAAUCAGAUCCCACCAAACUGGUGCUGAGGCAGGCCUCCUGCGCCACUUCUACUGCGCAGAAGCCUUGGAUGAUGCAAUGUAGAGCAUAAAAGCGUGCUUCACAUUUCGCCAGAGCCAUUAAUGCAGACGAUCCAGGCACGAUCACACCGAUGGCCUACUCACCUCACUUUUGUGCAUUACAGGUGCAUAAAACAACUUCAUUAACGAAAUAUUGCCUUCGUGCUUGGGUUGUCCUCCAGCUACGGGAGAUGAUGGGCGAUGAUAUGGGUGAAAGGGUUUUUGAAAAAACGGCCAUGACAGUGAAAGAACUUGCUGCCUUUUGAAGCUGCGUAAUAAGAUUGAUAACAUGAAUUAUAACCUAAGCUGUGAUCUUGGUUCACUUAAGAAGUCUACAGAUUUUAUGAGCGAAAGCUUCGAUGAAUUCAAAAAUGUACUUGGUAAUGUACAGGGUGAAUUGGGCGAUGUGAGGAUGGAACAAAUUCGACUUAAAAGUGAGAACAGCUGCCUCUAUAAAGAGUUGCAGGCUACUAGACAUGAACUGCUUGAACUACAAGAAUACAGUGGCAGAACAAAUCUUGAACUCAAAGGUAUUCCCAGGAUGCCUAAUGAGUCACUAUUGGGAGUUGUUACCACCCUGGCAGCAAAGGUUACUGUGCAGGUGACAGGCUGAUAUUGAUGUCGCACACCGCGUUCUAACAAAAAACAAAAGGCAAUCGAACAUUACUAUCAAAUUCAAGUCCUGUGCACCCCUUGACAACUUACUUCGAUGUGUAGAAAAAAGAAAGCCCGUCUUCUGCAGCCAAUUUUGGCCUGACAGAACGUAUAUAUAAAUGAGCACCUGAGCACUGAGUACAAACUUUUGCUCGUAAAGGUUAUUACUGCAAAGCAACACAACUGUAAAUAUGCUUGGGUACCGAGAGGACGAAUAUUAAUAAGGAAAGCGGAGAACUCCGUUGUCCUCCGCAUCUUCACGGAGGCUACACCGUAUGGCAUAACCGUAUGGCCUAGACUGUAUGGCAGAAUAUCCCCAAUAUGCUGACGACUCCUUCUGUUGAUAACUUUCAUAGAUUACAUAGUCCACACUCACUGCUUCAAUGCAAUUUAAGAAGCUUAGGAAAAAAUAUUGAUGUUCUUCUUACACUGUUGGCACAGUACAAUAACAUGUAUGAUGUCAUAGCCGUCACGGAAACUUGGCUAAAGCCUGUUGAAAGUUAACAUUCCAAAUUAUGCUUUUGUCUCGUGUCCUAGAAUUGCUGAAAACAGUGGAGGAGAGGUGGGAUUUUAUAUUAGAAGCUUACUCCGGUAUAGGCUUUAUUCCUUGAACAGACCUACUAGCGGACACUUGGAGAUGUUUUUUGUAGGGGUGGACAAUGUCAUAAUUGGUGUCAUAUACUGUCCCUCGCAUACUGAUUGUAGCUUGUUUUUAAAUGACCUAGAAUAUGUUCUCAUUCACCUGACCAAAAAUAGUAAGAAAGCCGUUAUAGUCGGCGACAUGAAUAUUGACACUGUUAGUAGCAGACACCAUGAAUAUUCAAACUUACUGUCUUCGUAUGGAUUUAGUAACCUCAUCAUUGGUCCCACGCAAAUUAAAAGUCAUACCUCAACUUGCCUUAAUCACAUCUUAAGGAACUUUGAUGCCACUGAAAUCCUUUAUAAAGCCUACAAUACAGGUCCUGCAGACCACUUACUGAUUGCAUUUCUAUAUUGUCUUGAAGAUAGAUACAUAUUUUAACUAGACAAAUUUUUCCAGAACAACAAGUGAAUUGAUUAUGAAAAACUGUCACUGUCACUUUCUAACAUGUCAUACUCCGACUUAGAUGACUUAAAUGCUAACAUGCACUGUUCUAUGCUAAUAGAAAGACUUAAAGGUACAGUUACAGAGCCCACUCAAAUAAAAGUAA